GCUUUCUGAUCUGGGACCCGGCACAGGGGAGCAUCUGGAGGAGAAGCAUGCUCUGACUGCUAGUGCCUCUACUUUCUCAGGAAACCUGUAAGGCGCUGUUGCUUUUUCUUCUGCUAAUUCAGUCCAGUAUUCUUCAGUGACCUCUGAGUGCAAGGUCUGGGCAAGAGACUUGAGAAGAAACUUGGACUAUGAAUCAACCAUCUGUAAGGAACUCACCGCUUAGGACACAAGGGAAGAGAUAAGCAUACGAAAGUUAGGGAAGGACUCAAAACAUGAGAAGAAAGGAAGCUGGAAUCCUGAAUUAUGAUCACAGGCCUGCACCUGUGAGGAAAUUUUCAAGCUGAAAUGGAAGAAACUACUUAGAGAGCUGUGGCUACCAUUCCU
rnacentral:lncRNA from 1 species